CAUCUAAGCGCGAAGCGAGCCCUGAGAUGAGUCUUCCCUGACAGUUUAACUGUCCUAAAGGGUUGUUCGAGACUAGAACGUUGAUAGGCAGGGUGUGUAAGCGUUGUGAGGCGUUGAGCUAACCUGUACUAAUUGCCCGUGAGGCUUAACCAUACAACACCCAAGGGGUUUUGUA
rnacentral:rRNA from 1 species